UUGAUUUUGCAAUACCACCUAGGGAUAGGGGUAGGACGAUCAAUUGCGCUAACUUCUGUUUAUAAUGCGGUAUUAAUUACUAGGGGAGGCUGGGGAUAACAAGCCAGUAGUUAAUAUUAGGCCCUUUUCACCGAGGGAUCGGGUUAAGGGGAGGCUAAGAAAGUCGCAUAACAAUUAAUUAAUCAAACUAAUAUUCAAGAGGAGUAGGUAAGAGAGAGCGGAUUAGAUGAAAUUGUGAACCCCCAACAACAUCCAUUCAUCCAUUGUUUUCGUUUGUCAAUUGAAUCAACUUUAUUUUGCAUGUUAAUAAUUUUGUUCUCAAAUCCAAUUUAUUAAUUUUUUUUUCAAGUCUUAUUAUUUGAAUUCACGCGAACGAGAAAGCCAUUCGAGUCUCUUGGGAAAACGAUACUUGGUCUUACCAUUUAUAUUACUUGUACGAUUUGGUACACUUGCCAAUUUGUCAACAAUCACUGUCAUAGUCGUUGAUGGCAUACCCCUUGCCAUGACCUAGCACAUUCAUGAAGAGUUAGAGACAUCUAUGGAAGAUGGACCUAUACUCUUUCUCUUAGGCCAUCUUAAGUCAUCAUGAAGAUUUAGUAGAGUAAGAAUAAUUUUGGGCCUUGUAUUUUGGGCCAAGUAGUCUACAUUUUAUUUGGGCUUUGUAUUUUGGGCCAAGUAGUCUAGAUUUUAUUUGGGCUUGGUAUUAUGGACCUAGUAGUGUAGGAUUUCAAUUGGGCCUUGUAUUUUGGGCCA
rnacentral:lncRNA from 1 species